rnacentral:tRNA from 1 species
GCCGAGGUGGCGGAAUUGGUAGACGCACGGGACUCAAAAUCCCGCGCCGAAAGGCGUGCCGGUUCGAUUCCGGCCCUCGGCACCA